AGAAGAAAAAGGAAGACCAAGAUAAUUUCGGUUUAAGUUUCCUACCUUUCACAUAGCCUCUCUUUUCACUGUCUACUUGCUCUCCAAGAGCUCCUAUCUCUGUUACUUCCAUGUCCACUUUCCUUCAGUUCAAAGUUCAAGACUGAGCACAGCAGAACGUGUGAGAGGCUGCUGCUUCCUCCUGGCACACAGCCGUGGCAGAGAGCAGCUUGGCUGACCAGCCUUUCAAUGUUUUGGCAGAACUAUCUCUCCAGCUGAAGAAAACUCAGUCCUUUAAAGAAAGAAAAGAGAAAGAAAAGACAAUUUUCACAACUCUUUUUGACAGACCAACAGUUUAACUGAGAAGAUGAAAGGCUUGAGUAAGCAUAAGAUGCACAGCUAUUCUGUAUCUUAUAAACACCUAUGUAAGUAAGGGAGGGAGGCUUCUAAAAGUCUGACAUGUUAAUCUGUGGCUUGUCACCUUUGCAUUUUGUUUGAUCUUAGCUACUAGU
rnacentral:lncRNA from 1 species